rnacentral:tRNA from 1 species
GACUCGAUACUUUAAGUGAAAAGAUCUGAUUUGCAUUCAGAAAAUAAGUUAUAUAACUUUCAGGUCA